AGUGAACGCUGGCGGUAGGCCUAACACAUGCAAGUCGAACGGCAGCACAGUAAGAGCUUGCUCUUACGGGUGGCGAGUGGCGGACGGGUGAGGAAUACAUCGGAAUCUACUUUUUCGUGGGGGAUAACGUAGGGAAACUUACGCUAAUACCGCAUACGACCUACGGGUGAAAGCAGGGGAUCUUCGGACCUUGCGCGAUUGAAUGAGCCGAUGUCGGAUUAGCUAGUUGGCGGGGUAAAGGCCCACCAAGGCGACGAUCCGUAGCUGGUCUGAGAGGAUGAUCAGCCACACUGGAACUGAGACACGGUCCAGACUCCUACGGGAGGCAGCAGUGGGGAAUAUUGGACAAAGGGCGCAAGCCUGAUCCAGCCAUACCGCGUGGGUGAAGAAGGCCUUCGGGUUGUAAAGCCCUUUUGUUGGGAAAGAAGAGCAGCAGGUUAAUACCCCGCUGUUCUGACGGUACCCAAAGAAUAAGCACCGGAUAACUUCGUG
rnacentral:rRNA from 1 species